rnacentral:rRNA from 1 species
AACAGGAUUAGAUACCCUGGUAGUCCACGCCGUAAACGAUGUCUACUUGGAGGCUGUGCCCUUGAGGCGUGGCUUCCGGAGCUAACGCGUUAAGUAGACCGCCUGGGGAGUACGGCCGCAAGGUUAAAACUCAAAUGAAUUGACGGGGGCCCGCACAAGCGGUGGAGCAUGUGGUUUAAUUCGAUGCAACGCGAAGAACCUUACCUACUCUUGACAUCCAGAGAACUUAGCAGAGAUGCUUUGGUGCCUUCGGGAACUCUGAGACAGGUGCUGCAUGGCUGUCGUCAGCUCGUGUUGUGAAAUGUUGGGUUAAGUCCCGCAACGAGCGCAACCCUUAUCCUUUGUUGCCAGCGGUUCGGCCGGGAACUCAAAGGAGACUGCCAGUGAUAAACUGGAGGAAGGUGGGGAUGACGUCAAGUCAUCAUGGCCCUUACGAGUAGGGCUACACACGUGCUACAAUGGCAUAUACAAAGAGAAGCGACCUCGCGAGAGCAAGCGGACCUCAUAAAGUAUGUCGUAGUCCGGAUUGGAGUCUGCAACUCGACUCCAUGGAGUCGGAAUCGCUAGUAAUCGUGGAUCAGAAUGCCACGGUGAAUACGUUCCCGGGCCUUGUACACACCGCCCGUCACACCAUGGGAGUGGGUUGCAAAAGAAGUAGGUAGCUUAACCUUCGGGAGGGCGCUUACCACUUUGUGAUUCAUGACUGGGGUGAAGUCGUAACAAGGUAACC